GGAAGAAUACCCAAGUCCGGCUGAAGGGUCUGGCCUCGAAAACCAGUAGGACGUUAAUCGCGUCGCAGGGGUUCAAAUCCCCUUUCUUCCG
rnacentral:tRNA from 1 species